AAAUUUCAAAAAACCUCCAUGUGAAUUCGUAGUUUCUCACUUUGCCUCCCUGUGGUUUAAAAUGUAUCAAUUUGCCCCCCUGUGGUUUCUUUUUUCUCUUUUUUUAUCAAUUUCAUUAUUUUUUUUUCUUAAAUCAGUAAUAAAGUUAAAAUUAAAAGGUACUAAAGUAAAUAUUUGAUAAAUCUAGAUGGAUAUCUGAAGUUUUUUGUAUAUAAUUU
rnacentral:lncRNA from 1 species